rnacentral:rRNA from 1 species
GAUGAACGCUAGCGGCAGGCCUAAUACAUGCAAGUCGAACGGUAAGGCCCUUUCGGGGGUACACGAGUGGCGGACGGGUGCGUAACGCGUAUGCAACAUACCUUCAAGCGGGGGAUAUGCCAGGGAAACUUGGUGCAACACCCCAUAGCAUUUCGGGACCGCAUGGUCUUGGGAUUUAAAAUAUUUAUAGCUUGGAGAUUGGCAUGCGUGACAUUAGCUAGUUGGCGGGGUAACGGCCCACCAAGGCGACGAUGUCUAGCUGGUCUGAGAGGAUGAUCAGCCACACUGGGACUGAGACACGGCCCAGACUCCUACGGGAGGCAGCAGUAGGGAAUAUUGGACAAUGGGGGAACCCUGAUCCAGCCAUGCCGCGUGAGGGAAGAAGGUCCUCUGGAUUGUAAACCUCUUUUGGUCGGGGGACAAACCUGCACUAUACGUGCAGCUGAGGGUACCCGCAGAUAAGCACCGGCUAACUCCGUGCCAGCAGCCGCGGUAAU